rnacentral:rRNA from 1 species
GAAUGCUGACAUAAGUAACGAUAAAGCGGGUGAAAAGCCCGCUCGCCGGAAGACCAAGGGUUCCUGUCCAACGUUAAUCGGGGCAGGGUGAGUCGACCCCUAAGGCGAGGCCGAAAGGCGUAGUCGAUGGGAAACGGGUUAAUAUUCCCGUACUUGGUGUUACUGCGAAGGGGGGACGGAGAAGGCUAUGUUGGCCGGGCGACGGUUGUCCCGGUUUAAGCGUGUAGGUGUGUGUUCCAGGUAAAUCCGGUUCACUUUAACACUGAGGCGUGACGACGAGGCACUACGGUGCUGAAGCAACAAAUGCCCUGCUUCCAGGAAAAGCCUCUAAGCAUCAGGUAACAUCAAAUCGUACCCCAAACCGACACAGGUGGUCAGGUAGAGAAUACCAAGGCGCUUGAGAGAACUCGGGUGAAGGAACUAGGCAAAAUGGUGCCGUAACUUCGGGAGAAGGCACGCUGACACGUAGGUGAAGUGAUUUACUCAUGGAGCUGAAGUCAGUCGAAGAUACCAGCUGGCUGCAACUGUUUAUUAAAAACACAGCACUGUGCAAACACGAAAGUGGACGUAUACGGUGUGACGCCUGCCCGGUGCCGGA